GAUGAACGCUGGCGGCGUGCCUAAUACAUGCAAGUCGAGCGAACGGACGAGAAGCUUGCUUCUCUGAUGUUAGCGGCGGACGGGUGAGUAACACGUGGAUAACCUACCUAUAAGACUGGGAUAACUUCGGGAAACCGGAGCUAAUACCGGAUAAUAUUUUGAACCGCAUGGUUCAAAAGUGAAAGACGGUCUUGCUGUCACUUAUAGAUGGAUCCGCGCUGCAUUAGCUAGUUGGUAAGGUAACGGCUUACCAAGGCAACGAUGCAUAGCCGACCUGAGAGGGUGAUCGGCCACACUGGAACUUAGACACGGUCCAGACUCCUACGGGAGGCAGCAGUAGGGAAUCUUACGCAAUGGGCGAAAGCCUGACGGAGCAACGCCGCGUGAGUGAUGAAGGUCUUCGGAUCGUAAAACUCUGUUAUUAGGGAAGAACAUAUGUGUAAGUAACUGUGCACAUCUUGACGGUACCUAAUCAGAAAGCCACGGCUAACUACGUG
rnacentral:rRNA from 1 species